UCAAGUGAAGAAGCGCAUACGGUGGAUGCCUUGGCAGUCAGAGGCGAUGAAAGACGUGGUAGCCUGCGAAAAGCUUCGGGGAGUCGGCAAACAGACUUUGAUCCGGAGAUGUCUGAAUGGGGGAACCCAGCCAUCAUAAGAUGGUUAUCUUACGCUGAAUACAUAGGCGUAAGAGGCGAACCAGGGGAACUGAAACAUCUAAGUACCCUGAGGAAAAGAAAUCAACCGAGAUUCCCUUAGUAGUGGCGAGCGAACGGGGACUAGCCCUUAAGUGGCUUUGAGAUUAGCGGAACGCUCUGGAAAGUGCGGCCAUAGUGGGUGAUAGCCCUGUACGCGAAAAUCUCUUAGUCAUGAAAUCGAGUAGGACGGAGCACGAGAAACUUUGUCUGAAUAUGGGGGGACCAUCCUCCAAGGCUAAAUACUACUGACUGACCGAUAGUGAACUAGUACCGUGAGGGAAAGGCGAAAAGAACCCCGGAGAGGGGAGUGAAAUAGAUCCUGAAACCGUAUGCGUACAAGCAGUGGGAGCCCACUUUGUUGGGUGACUGCGUACCUUUUGUAUAAUGGGUCAGCGACUUAUUUUCAGUGGCGAGCUUAACCGAAUAGGGGAGGCGUAGCGAAAGCGAGUCUUAAUAGGGCGUCUAGUCGCUGGGAAUAGACCCGAAACCGGGCGAUCUAUCCAUGGGCAGGUUGAAGGUUGGGUAACACUAACUGGAGGACCGAACCGACUACCGUUGAAAAGUUAGCGGAUGACCUGUGGAUCGGAGUGAAAGGCUAAUCAAGCUCGGAGAUAGCUGGUUCUCCUCGAAAGCUAUUUAGGUAGCGCCUCAUGUAUCACUGUAGGGGGUAGAGCACUGUUUCGGCUAGGGGGUCAUCCCGACUUACCAAACCGAUGCAAACUCCGAAUACCUACAAGUGCCGAGCAUGGGAGACACACGGCGGGUGCUAACGUCCGUCGUGAAAAGGGAAACAACCCAGACCGUCAGCUAAGGUCCCAAAGUUAUGGUUAAGUGGGAAACGAUGUGGGAAGGCUUAGACAGCUAGGAGGUUGGCUUAGAAGCAGCCACCCUUUAAAGAAAGCGUAAUAGCUCACUAGUCGAGUCGGCCUGCGCGGAAGAUGUAACGGGGCUCAAACCAUACACCGAAGCUACGGGUAUCACGUAAGUGAUGCGGUAGAGGAGCGUUCUGUAAGCCUGUGAAGGUGAGUUGAGAAGCUUGCUGGAGGUAUCAGAAGUGCGAAUGCUGACAUGAGUAACGACAAUGGGUGUGAAAAACACCCACGCCGAAAGACCAAGGUUUCCUGCGCAACGUUAAUCGACGCAGGGUUAGUCGGUCCCUAAGGCGAGGCUGAAAAGCGUAGUCGAUGGAAAACAGGUUAAUAUUCCUGUACUUCUGGUUAUUGCGAUGGAGGGACGGAGAAGGCUAGGCCAGCUUGGCGUUGGUUGUCCAAGUUUAAGGUGGUAGGCUGAGAUCUUAGGUAAAUCCGGGAUCUUAAGGCCGAGAGCUGAUGACGAGCUAACUUUUAGUUAGCGAAGUGGUUGAUGCCAUGCUUCCAAGAAAAGCUUCUAAGCUUCAGGUAACCAGGAACCGUACCCCAAACCGACACAGGUGGUUGGGUAGAGAAUACCAAGGCGCUUGAGAGAACUCGGGUGAAGGAACUAGGCAAAAUGGCACCGUAACUUCGGGAGAAGGUGCGCCGGUGAGGGUGAAGGACUUGCUCCGUAAGCUCAUGCCGGUCGAAGAUACCAGGCCGCUGCGACUGUUUAUUAAAAACACAGCACUCUGCAAACACGAAAGUGGACGUAUAGGGUGUGACGCCUGCCCGGUGCCGGAAGGUUAAUUGAUGGGGUUAGCUAACGCGAAGCUCUUGAUCGAAGCCCCGGUAAACGGCGGCCGUAACUAUAACGGUCCUAAGGUAGCGAAAUUCCUUGUCGGGUAAGUUCCGACCUGCACGAAUGGCGUAACGAUGGCGGCGCUGUCUCCACCCGAGACUCAGUGAAAUUGAAAUCGCUGUGAAGAUGCAGUGUAUCCGCGGCUAGACGGAAAGACCCCGUGAACCUUUACUAUAGCUUUGCACUGGACUUUGAAUUUGCUUGUGUAGGAUAGGUGGGAGGCUUUGAAGCGUGGACGCCAGUCUGCGUGGAGCCAACCUUGAAAUACCACCCUGGCAACUUUGAGGUUCUAACUCAGGUCCGUUAUCCGGAUCGAGGACAGUGUAUGGUGGGUAGUUUGACUGGGGCGGUCUCCUCCUAAAGAGUAACGGAGGAGUACGAAGGUGCGCUCAGACCGGUCGGAAAUCGGUCGUAGAGUAUAAAGGCAAAAGCGCGCUUGACUGCGAGACAGACACGUCGAGCAGGUACGAAAGUAGGUCUUAGUGAUCCGGUGGUUCUGUAUGGAAGGGCCAUCGCUCAACGGAUAAAAGGUACUCCGGGGAUAACAGGCUGAUACCGCCCAAGAGUUCAUAUCGACGGCGGUGUUUGGCACCUCGAUGUCGGCUCAUCACAUCCUGGGGCUGAAGCCGGUCCCAAGGGUAUGGCUGUUCGCCAUUUAAAGUGGUACGCGAGCUGGGUUUAGAACGUCGUGAGACAGUUCGGUCCCUAUCUGCCGUGGACGUUUGAGAUUUGAGAGGGGCUGCUCCUAGUACGAGAGGACCGGAGUGGACGAACCUCUGGUGUUCCGGUUGUCACGCCAGUGGCAUUGCCGGGUAGCUAUGUUCGGAAUAGAUAACCGCUGAAAGCAUCUAAGCGGGAAACUAGCCUCAAGAUGAGAUCUCACUGGAACCUUGAGUUCCCUGAAGGGCCGUCGAAGACUACGACGUUGAUAGGUUGGGUGUGUAAGCGCUGUGAGGCGUUGAGCUAACCAAUACUAAUUGCCCGUGAGGCUUGACCAU
rnacentral:rRNA from 1 species